UAGAUGGUCACUUCGAUUAGUACAGGAAUUGGUUCCUGUGCUACCGGCUUAGGUUCAAACCUGCGGGGUCACACACAUUAGAGGUUCCUUUCUGAUCUGAUGGCUGAUUAUGAGUCUUAUGUGUCUGGGACUCUAUGAUUGAGAAUUAAGAUUCUCUGAUCAUGAGUUCCACACAUUUUGGGUACCGGGGUCAAAAUUUUGAAUUUCAAAUUUUGAAUUUGAAAUUUGAACUCUUUGAUCAG
rnacentral:lncRNA from 1 species